GAGAAAAGAGAAAGGGGGUGGGGGAAAACAUGCAGGAAAUCAUCACAAGUUUGAUUCAAACCCUGGGCCUCUGCGUUGAGGCAUAAACCUUGAAAUAUAUAUGCGUUUGCUCUACCCACUGAGCCAACUUGGCCACUUGU